AUCCAAGUGGAGCUGUUUGGAUAAUAAAUCAUGGACAGAUCCCCUGGCAGAGAGACAAGAAAAGGAGGGAAAUCAGGUAACCCCCAAACCAUCCCCAAAACAGAACAAACAUUUCACCCUGAAAAAAUAAAAGAAUAAAACAAUAAAACAACACCACCUUUUUUUUUUUUCCCCUCUCUUUUCUCAUCACCCAGGCUCCCUUUCUUUUACAGCCUCUCCCCUCAGCAGGAUUUAACCAUGCAGAGAGUAAAACUCAUCAAUCCUCCAGGUUUAACCUUGUCUCUGUUUCAAUUCACCAGGAUAUGAAACAUCAGACCUGAGCCACCGAGUUGGAACACCCCACUGCAAGUGUGUUACCUGCAGCUGCAGGAAAGGUGACUUUUUAGCACAAAGAGGUUCUGGAGGCAGCAUGUGCUGAGGAAUAACCUGUGCGGGUAAUUAACAGCGCUCACACCUCAGGUAGGGAGUGUGGAAGGAGCAGGUCGAUACAGGGGUCUUCCCUGAAUUAAAAUUUAACUCACCCUUUAUUGCAACCUACAAAAGCAAGUAAUGAGCACUAACAUUUUUAUUUCUUUUAAACUGUCAUUUAGGCUGUAGAGGGGAUAAUUACCUAUUUCCACUGUAGUAAGGUUUUAUCACCCUUAGUGAGGCAUUUUCUAAUUUAAUAUUUUUACUGUAUUAUCAUAAAACCUGUUUCUGGAAAAAAAAUGAUCACGGACCACGGAGCCAUUUGCCAUAAAACAUGUGUGUGUAAGUACCUUGGCUUAAUUAUUUAUGCAUUUCUUCUGAGCUGGCUCCAGAGCCAGGGGACAGCACCCCACCACGAAAACUGGGCUUUUCAGGUCAACAAUAUUGUUUUAAAAUGUGAAAUAAAAGGAGCAGCUACUACUCCAGGUGGUGAACCUGGUGUGCUAAAUGCCCAGUGGGCUCUUCCCCCCUCCAAACCCCAGGUAUCAGUGCUACACACACUCUACAGGCAACAGAAAAGAGACCAGGAAGACAAAACAAGCUGGAACCAUUUAUUUUUUAAUUUCUGGUGAAAGGCUAAAGCAGUCUUAGUUUCUGAUUAAACCCCAAACCAGCUGGCUGUGGGGUCUGGCUCUGAACUCCCACCCCGCACUCCCCAC